rnacentral:lncRNA from 1 species
CCCCGGGUGACCUUGCCUAGGUGUGGGCCGUGACCCACGUGACCUCUCCCAGGUGUGCCACAGGUGUGCCGGGUCCCACGUGACCUACCCUCGGCUGUGUCACGUGUCUGCCUCACGUGUCGCCGGUGUCCUCAGGUGUGUCCGCGUGUGACCCCAGGUGUGCCCAGGUGCGCUCACCUGUCCCAGGUGU